rnacentral:rRNA from 1 species
CCUACGGGAGGCAGCAGUGGGGAAUUUUGGACAAUGGGCGCAAGCCUGAUCCAGCUAUUCCGCGUGUGGGAAGACGGCCUUCGGGUUGUAAACCACUUUUGUAGAGAACGAAAAGUCUAUUGAUAAUACCGAUAGAUGAUGACGGUACUCUAAGAAUAAGCACCGGCUAACUACGUGCCAGCAGCCGCGGUAAUACGUAGGGUGCGAGCGUUAAUAGGAAUUACUGGGCGUAAGGGGUGUGCAGGCGGUUUUGCAAGUUGGAUGUGAAAGCCUCGGGCUGAACCUGGGAAAGCCAUACAUGACUGCAAGACUAGAGUGCGUCAGAGGGGGGUGGAAUUCCAAGUGUAGCAGUGAAAUGCGUAGAUAUUUGGAAGAACACCGAUGGCGAAGGCAGCCCCCUGGGACGCAACUGACGCUCAUACACGAAAGCGUGGGGAGCAAACAGGAUUAGAUACCCCAGUAGUC